rnacentral:rRNA from 1 species
GGAUUGACGUGAUGGUCGUGCCUUAAGGGGUAUGAACUGUCGCAGUUGAUUUCUCACCUUCUGGAGAAGCAUGAUGUCCUUAAUUGGGUGUCAUGUGGAACCAGGACCUUUACCUUGAAAAAAUUAGAGUGUUUAAAGCAGGCAUUUUGCUCGAAUACAUUAGCAUGGAAUAAUAGAAUA